UAGGGAAGAGUCUUUGGCUUGAGAGCCCUUAUUUUCGUGCCAUCAAGCCUCUGGCCUGACCAGAAGUGCACUUGAAGGCUGGGCUUCUGGCUGUGGAGGGUGGGGAAGGGGAGGGGGUUGGAGGAGACCUGCUUCCAAGAUCACCCACUCACUGGUGCAGUUGAUGUCAGGCUCCAGGUCCUCACUGGCUACUUGCUAAAGUCACUGACCCCCUGCCACCUGGGGCUUUCCAGAAGGGAACACAGCCGACAAUGCGGAUAUCCUGAAUCCAUGGGAAAUGCAGAGCACUCACUUCUGCUUUCUCAUCCAUUGAAUUACUCCCUCAUCGUGUACUUUCGCCUCUGGAGACUUCCCCUGGAAGACUGAGCUAUGCUUUUUCUGUCAGGCUCCACUAACCGUGAACAAACCACAGGCCCAGGGAGGGAGUGGAAUAAAAGGCCACGGACCUGCCAUGCUCAGAGACCCCAGGCUUCAACCAUGUUGACACCUCUGCCCUUCAUCUGUCCUUCACCCAUGACGCUGCAUGGGCUUCUCUCCAUUCUGCUCCUUCUGACUCUCUUCAGCCCAGGGAGACAGAACCGAGAAGGUUGUGUUACAACAUCAUCUGUCAUGAUAUCUGUUCGGGAGCCCAGCAAAAGAGAUGGACAGAAUCCUGUCAACAGGAGUUAGUGGGAAGGGUGUGUCUUGAGGACCUCGUUAUCCAGGUGUUUGUCUCCCGAAGGGACUGGAAAUCGGCACAACUCUCACUGUGGGAGAGGUAUGUUCCUGACAGUAAAAGCUGGGUGAGCAUUUUUUAAUCCAAACUAGACACUGUGGAAAGUGAAGGAAGCAGUCUUACAACUGUAUCAGAACUAAGGCAUAAACCAGGACUGUCUCAUCCAAACUGGCCACUGGGUCAGUCCAUGUAAAUGGCGCAGACCCAGAAGAGGGUUUCAGAAAGAGCAUUACAGUCCCCAAGGAGGGGUUGCUGAGAAGACCAAGUGCUGGUCCACAUUCUAGGAAGGGGAGCUCAGCUUAAGGAGCAGUCACACAGAAUAGAUCCCCCGACAUGGAACCUAGUCCUGCAAAAUGAGGGGGAUUAGGAAGAAAACACAUUUGGGAAUACUAACACAGGACUUAUGCAGGAAGAAAAUGAUUGGGCUGGGACAUGGGGACAGCAACCCAAACGGUGAUACUCUGUGACCAUAAAUCCUUAGUGCUAAGGUUGCCAAAGAAAAGUUACCAGGUUCAAACUCAUCUUUUUUAGAUAAGAUGAUGAGGUCCACAGAAGAACUUCACACUCUCUAAUUUAAGGCUUCCUACCUACAUCUGGAAACCGGGUGUCAGGGGUGCAGAGACUGACAGGCACUUAUGGAGAAAGAGCUUAAACCGCCUGUGGGUCAUGCAAGCCUAGCCCCGGUAGCAGUGGGAUCUAAUCUAUUAAGAAGACACAUAUUAGACAAAAUAAUCUUGAUGUUUGCACUUGGAAGCCUUUCAUUUUUUCAUUAAAGAGGAACUGCUUUAGAAUAUACUGACAGGCUCUGUUCUAACCUCCAUAUUAUAUGGGAUGAUGUCAACAUUGACUAUCUAAGACUAUGACUAAAAUAGAAAAAAAUUUCCUGCAUUAGUGGUGUUUCCAAUUUAAUCUUCUAUGUGUUCACAUCUUGCUAAUUUUUUAUCCUGAAUACUC
rnacentral:lncRNA from 1 species